UCUAAUGAGACAUUUGUCACAGACCAGAAA
rnacentral:piRNA from 1 species